CGGACUUCGCGUCCGGGAGGGGAUCGGGGCCGCAGAGACCAGGGGGAAGCGACUGUUUACUAAAAACACAGGUCCGUGCGAAGUCGCAAGACGAUGUAUACGGACUGACUCCUGCCCGGUGCUGGAAGGUUAAGAGGACCGGUUAGCCUCACGGCGAAGCUGAGAAUUUAAGCCCCAGUAAACGGCGGUGGUAACUAUAACCAUCCUAAGGUAGCGAAAUUCCUUGUCGGGUAAGUUCCGACCUGCACGAAUGGAGUAACGACUUCCCCGCUGUCUCAACCAUAAACUCGGCGAAAUUGCAGUACGAGUAAAGAUGCUCGUUACGCGCAGCAGGACGGAAAGACCCCGAGACCUUUACUAUAGUUUGGUAUUGGUGUUCGGAGUGGCUUGUGUAGGAUAGGUGGGAGACGUUGAAGCCCGGACGCCAGUUCGGGUGGAGUCAUCGUUGAAAUACCACUCUGGUCACUUUGGACAUCUAACUUCGGCCCGUAAUCCGGGUCAGGGACAGUGCCUGAUGGGUAGUUUAACUGGGGCGGUUGCCUCCUAAAAAGUAACGGAGGCGCCCAAAGGUUCCCUCAGCCUGGUUGGCAAUCAGGUGUCGAGUGUAAGUGCACAAGGGAGCUUGACUGUGAGAGAGACAUCUCGAGCAGGGACGAAAGUCGGGACUAGUGAUCCGGCGGUACAUUGUGGAAUGGCCGUCGCUCAACGGAUAAAAGGUACCUCGGGGAUAACAGGCUGAUCUUGCCCAAGAGUCCAUAUCGACGGCAUGGUUUGGCACCUCGAUGUCGGCUCGUCGCAUCCUGGGGCUGGAGUAGGUCCCAAGGGUUGGGCUGUUCGCCCAUUAAAGCGGUACGCGAGCUGGGUUUAGAACGUCGUGAGACAGUUCGGUCCCUAUCCGCUGCGCGCGCAGGAAAUUUGAGAAGGGCUGUCCUUAGUACGAGAGGACCGGGACGGACGAACCUCUGGUGUGUCAGUUGUACUGCCAAGUGCACCGCUGAUUAGCUACGUUCGGAUGGGAUAACCGCUGAAAGCAUCUAAGCGGGAAGCUCGCUUCAAGAUGAGAUUUCCAUACACAUUUAUGUGUGAGAGGCCCCCAGCCAGACCACUGGGUUGAUAGGCCGGAUGUGGAAGCGAGGACUAACGACUCGUGAAGCUGACCGGUACUAAUAGGCCAAUAACUUACACCAC
rnacentral:rRNA from 1 species